UCCUGGAGAACAUCUAGAUGGACCGUCCC
rnacentral:piRNA from 1 species